rnacentral:rRNA from 1 species
CAAAGGUGAGCCAGUACAGGAUGGACCCGCGUCUGAUUAGCUAGUUGGUAAGGUAACGGCUUACCAAGGCGACGAUCAGUAGCCGACCUGAGAGGGUGAUCGGCCACAUUGGAACUGAGACACGGUCCGAACUCCUACGGGAGGCAGCAGUGGGGAAUAUUGCACAAUGGGCGAAAGCCUGAUGCAGCAACGCCGCGUGAGUGAUGAAGGCCUUCGGGUCGUAAAACUCUGUCCUCAAGGAAGAUAAUGACGGUACUUGAGGAGGAAGCCCCGGCUAACUACGUGCCAGCAGCCGCGGUAAUACGUAGGGGGCUAGCGUUAUCCGGAUUUACUGGGCGUAAAGGGUGCGUAGGCGGUCUUUCAAGUCAGGAGUGAAAGGCUACGGCUCAACCGUAGUAAGCUCUUGAAACUGGGAGACUUGAGUGCAGGAGAGGAGAGUGGAAUUCCUAGUGUAGCGGUGAAAUGCGUAGAUAUUAGGAGGAACACCAGUUGCGAAGGCGGCUCUCUGGACUGUAACUGACGCUGAGGCACGAAAGCGUGGGGAGCAAACAGGAUUAGAUACCCUGGUAGUCCACGCUGUAAACGAUGAGUACUAGGUGUCGGGGGUUACCCCCUUCG